UGGGGAAUAUUGGACAAUGGGCGAAAGCCUAAUCCAGCCAUGCCGCGUGUGUGAAGAAGGUCUUCGGAUUGUAAAGCACUUUAAGUUGGGAGGAAGGGCAGUAAGCGAAUACCUUGCUGUUUUGACGUUACCGACAGAAUAAGCACCGGCUAACUCUGUGCCAGCAGCCGCGGUAAUACAGAGGGUGCGAGCGUUAAUCGGAUUUACUGGGCGUAAAGCGUGCGUAGGCGGCUAAUUGAGUCGGAUGUGAAAUCCCCGAGCUUAACUUGGGAAUUGCAGUCGAUACUGGUUAGCUAGAGUGUGGGAGAGGAUGGUAGAAUUCCAGGUGUAGCGGUGAAAUGCGUAGAGAUCUGGAGGAAUACCGAUGGCGAAGGCAGCCAUCUGGCCUAACACUGACGCUGAGGUACGAAAGCAUGGGGAGCAAACAGG
rnacentral:rRNA from 1 species